AAAUUGACGGGGGCCCGCACAAGCGGUGGAGCAUGUGGGUUUAAUUGGAAGCAACGCGAAGAACCUUACCAGGUCUUGACAUCCCCUGACAACCCGAGAGAUGGGGCGUUCCCCCUUCGGGGGGACAGGGUGACAGGUGGUGCAUGGUUGUCGUCAGCUCGUGUCGUGAGAUGUUGGGUUAAGUCCCGCAACGAGCGCAACCCUCGCCUUUAGUUGCCAGCAUGAAGGUGGGCACUCUAGAGGGACUGCCGGCGACAAGUCGGAGGAAGGUGGGGAUGACGUCAAAUCAUCAUGCCCCUUAUGACCUGGGCUACACACGUGCUACAAUGGGCGGUACAAAGGGUUGCGAACCCGCGAGGGGGAGCGAAUCCCAAAAAGCCGCUCUCAGUUCGGAUUGCAGGCUGCAACUCGCCUGCAUGAAGCCGGAAUCGCUAGUAAUCGCGGAUCAGCAUGCCGCGGUGAAUACGUUCCCGGGCCUUGUACACACCGCCCGUCACACCACGAGAGCUUGCAACACCCGAAGUCGGUGAGGUAACCCUUACGGGAGCCAGCCGCCGAAGGUGGGGCAAGUGAUUGGGGUGAAGUCA
rnacentral:rRNA from 1 species